rnacentral:rRNA from 1 species
CCUACGGGGGGCUGCAGUCGAGAAUAUUCCCCAAUGGGCGAAAGCCUGAGGGAGCGACGCCGCGUGUGCGAUGAAGGCCUUCGGGUCGUAAAGCACUUUUGCCGAGGAAGAAUCAUGACGGUACUCGGAGAAUAAGAGGUUGCUAACUCUGUGCCAGCAGCAGCGGUAAUACAGAGACCUCAAGCAUUAUCCGGAUUUAUUGGGCGUAAAGGGUCCGCAGGUGGUUUGGUGCGUCAUUGGUUAAAUCUACGAGCUCAACUCGUAAACUGCCGGUGAUACGGCCAGACUAGAGGGUGGGAGAGGUGAGCAGAAUUACCGGUGUAGUAGUAAAAUGCGUUAAUAUCGGUAAGAAUACCAAAAGCGAAGGCAGCUCACUGGAACACUUCUGACACUCAGGGACGAAAGCGUGGGUAGCGAAAGGGAUUAGAUACCCCAGUAGUC